UGUGUAGGCGGUUGCUUAAGUUUGGUGUGAAAUCUCCCGGCUUAACUGGGAGGGUGCGCCGAAUACUGAGUGACUAGAGUGCGGGAGAGGAAAGUGGAAUUCCUGGUGUAGCGGUGAAAUGCGUAGAUAUCAGGAGGAACACCGGUGGUGUAGACGGCUUUCUGGACCGUAACUGACGCUGAGACACGAAAGCGUGGGUAAGCAAACA
rnacentral:rRNA from 1 species